UACGGAGGGUGCAAGCGUUAUCCGGAUUUACUGGGUUUAAAGGGUGCGUAGGUGGGUAGGUAAGUCAGUGGUGAAAUCUUCGAGCUUAACUCGGAAACUGCCAUUGAUACUAUCUGUCUUGAAUACUUUGGAGGUAAGCGGAAUAUGUCAUGUAGCGGUGAAAUGCUUAGAUAUGACAUAGAACACCAAUUGCGAAGGCAGCUUACUACGGGAUUAUUGACACUGAGGCACGAAAGCGUGGGGAUCAAACAGG
rnacentral:rRNA from 1 species